AAAUAGACAAUAUUGUUUUAUAAUUUAAGGGUUGGCAUACAUAAGUUUUCACUAAGUUCUACCAAAUAAAUGAUUCCUCGAACAUCUGAAACUCUAGCAACGAUCAACCAAUACUAUCAAGUUCUUCAUUGUUACCGUCUACCUUCACUUGCUUCACCUACAAAAGAUUAUAAAUAAAUAAUUUAGUAAAAGUUUCACAGAAGAAUAUAUCCAUAAUUAAUAUUAAGCCAAAAACUUUUACUUCUUUCAGCUCUUCAAAGGAAACAUUACAUGCCAAAUAUUUUUAGGAUACAUCAAUUAAUUGAUGUUGUAAGCACACCAAAUAUAAUAAAAUAUAAAAAUUCUAAACACUAUGUUAACAUAAAUUCUGCAUAAAAUUAAAACUAUCAUUUACUAGUGAGGAAGAUAUUAUCACCCUAUCUCUGGGUUCUCGUGUUGGAAAAGAAUCACUACACCAAUUCAUUCCAUAAAUAUCUAAACUACUAUAUUGAGAAAUAGAGUUAAGUCGGUUCAAAUACUUCUAAGGGAUGAAACUAAAAAUGUAGCUUUUAACGAGGUUUUGUUACUAAGUGAUAGUACCAAACCGAAAUUAUACAUCACACAUAAACCUACUAACCAACCAAAUAUAUCAAUAUCCAUUGAAAGAGAAAAAUAUGGCACUCAAAAAGGCAAGUACUUAUAUAUGUGUAUCAUAUUUGGUAGAUCAGAGAAAAUAUAGUGUCCAAUACAUCCAAACACGUAUUUAAGAGUAAUAGAGUAUAUGACUAUCACUAUUUAUAGUUGGCAAGAAAAAGCAAAAAAGUAUAUUAAUGAUAGUAGUUGAAGUUUAAUUCGACAAAUAGAGAAUAAGUUUUUUCACUCACACCCUUUUGAAAAUAAAAAAAAAACUAAUUGAUAAAGAGAACAUAUAUAAUGAGAAACAUAUCUGUUAGUGUUCAUGUAUAUCUCUUUAGAAUGAUACAUGUACACCAAAAGCCAAGAAGAAUAUGUCUACUAAGCCAUGCACCAAAAGAAAAGGCUUGGAGAAUUUGAAAAUGCCACUGUAAAUAUAUCAGCUACUCUUUCCUAAGUCAACCAUAAUAAAUAAGAAUAUUAAGGAUUUUAGGUAAAGUCCAAAACAGAGAUGAACAUUGUAUUACUUUAGCUUAGAAGAAAUAUUUGGUAGUAGAAGUUGACAUAAAGGAACAUAGAAAUAGAACCAAAUACAUCAAGAUAUAAAGCAAGACUAUGAUUUAGCUAAUUUUAUCACUUUCAUAGAUGUUUGACGGCUGAAAAGUUUCAUUGUACAAUGGUUACUAUCUCUGUUUUCAAGCAUGUGCAAGUAAAAAAAAAAAAAAACAAUGAUAAAAGGACAAGAAGAUAGACAAAUGGAUAUACCUUCAAGAAGCUAUAUAUAUCACAAUAAAAUAAGUUGUUCCAAGGAGAUAAAUCCAAUUGCAAACCUAACAAAAUAGAAAUAUAGUGAUUAAAUUAGAAAUUUCUAGUGACAUUAGGCAGAAGAGUCGCAGACACAUAAAAAAACUAUAAGUAAAAUCAGAGUCCAACCUUUCAAUAAUUAUAUUAAAGUGAAAGCUAUCCAGCCUUUUUAAGUAACUUAGUUUAGAAAAGAUUUGGAGAAAGGGAAGCUUUUCGGUAACUAUUUCAUUUUCUUGUAUCCACAAAUGCACUCAGAGAAUUAAGAGAGGGCUAUUAAAAUGUAAUAACAAUGAACCAAAUGUCAUGUUUCAAUAUUCUUGUCGUUUGACAAUAAAUAUUUAGCUGACAAAUAAAAUUUAACGGAGGAUACUUAGCCAAAUGAUGAACUUACUUAAAUAAUGAACUUAAACCAAGGGUCGCAACUAUCAGCACACGCAAAAUUAUCUGAUACUUUUUGCUCGAUAGUCUCAACUAAGUGUGUACAAUCAUUACCUCAUAGAUGAACAAAUAAACACCAACUGACAUCUAUUCUCAGAUCCUUCCAAGACAAGUGUAAUUUGUGAUUUACUCUUUUCUUUAUCAAAAAGGAGGAAUUUCAGCACUCAAAUAAGGUAAAGCAAGCCAAAUUAAAGUAGCCAUGCUUAAGGAUAGUUAUAUAGCAAGAUGAUAUAAGCAUAAAGAAAAAUAAUAAGGAUGCUAUCAGCAAAUUACAAUUCCAUGGUAUACAAUAUUAUAAUGGUAAACCAAGCUGAAUAUUUCAGUACUAAAUUUCAAGAGAACACUUUAAGCAUAGUACUGACAAGUAUCAAAUAACUUUAUGCUAAUAUAGUAAUUUAUUCCAAUAGAAAAUCGGAAGAAGAAAAUAAAGAGAACAAAAAAGUAAAAUCACAAUGUAAAUAGCUAAGAAAAGGGAUAACAAAAAUUUGAUAUAGCAAUCAGUGCAAGCUUCUAUGCAAGUUUGUUAAUUGGAGUUCUGUAAUAAUUGUUUUAAUGAUUGGUCAGAGUAACUCUUUUAUUUCAGCAUUCUAGGCUACACAGGAGACUCUAAUUUCCUACCUAUUUACAGGAACAUCGCACCAAAUAAGGAUGAAAUAAUUAUGUUUCAGUCUAAGAUAUUAAUAGGUCCUGAACUAUGGAUUGGAGUUGAAAAGAAAAAGAGAAUUAUACUCAAUGAUAUUAGUAAUAGAUAUUUAGCUCUUUUAACGUCCAGUAUUUUUCUUCUUAUCUAAUUUUUGGGUUUUGAUUUUUUAGCAGGUAUAACAUUGGUUACAAGUGGUAAGGUUUGUCUAAUAGGAGAAUCCUUCAAACGUAUGUGCAAAAAUAUCACAUAUGAUUAAUAUCAGGAGAAUACAGGCUCUUUAACUAUAAAAUUAAGUAUUCUUCCCACAAUAAAUUCCUUUAAAGCCCAGAAAAUUCACGUAUGCCCAAAAUUAGGAGAUAACACAAAGUUAAUAAUAAAAGAAAGUUAAACUAUCAAAUAAAUAAAAUCUUCUACAAAAUCCCUAAAAAUAAAAUUAAUGAUGGAGAUAGAGCAAAAAGCCCUAGAAAUCUACUACAGUAACCAAAAUAUCUAACUCCACCUAAAAAUCACCCCUUACCCUCGCGAUACCAAGCGUAAAAUCAAAAUCUUAACCCUAGUCCCAAUCAGUCUAUCACCAAACCAAAUGAAUCCGAAAAAGCCCUAGAUUAUAAGAACAUAAACAAAAAACAGAAAGCCCUAAAAAUACUUAAUUGAACUAGUUAGAAAAGAAUAGGACAAGAAAAAAGGACCUGAAAAUGGAGAAAGCGACAAACUAUUCGAAUUUAAGAGAGGGUUGAUGCCAAAGCUAGAGCUGGUACAAAUAUGCAAUCUCUUGAUGGUCAUUAGGAAGCGAUUCUCAGUAUUGCAGUUCCCCCAUGGCAUAUUGAGUGUUGGACUUGAAAGUAUCUCUUAGCAUCUAUGACGAAGAAGCGGAAGCAAAGUCGCGAGAGAGAGAACAGACUAGGAGAUGGGGGUCGAAUUUUUGGUGCGGACAGUGGAUGAGAAAAGACUAAUUAAAGGAAAAGAAAGGGAAAAAGAAAAAUGGUGAAAACCG
rnacentral:lncRNA from 1 species